GUUAAGGUGACAGAGCGGCAAUUGUGUAAAACUUAAGAUUUUAUUUACCAGAGGUUCAAUUCCUCUCCUUAACU
rnacentral:tRNA from 1 species